AAGAGUUCCGCCAGAAAUGAGGUCAAGAGUUUCAUGUACAACGACAAGUAUACUGUUAUCAGGCUAUCACAGUAGUACGAUCACAUCAGCAUCACAAUAUCGGAGAUUUAUCAUUUAUCAGAGAGAUUGCAAAAUGUGGCUCUUACAGAAAGACUCCCACCAACGGGUCGCUAGUUGAGUUCGUGUAAAAUGUGGAGAUAAGAUGAUAAGAGCGACAAUCGAGACGCGUGGCCCGACCGCGACGAGAUCCAACUUCGAAA